AAUAUUAAAUGCUUUCAAAGCCUGGCCUAUGUGGUCUGCUGACUAUUAACUGUGUCCAGUGAGUUAUUCUGUGGGUUUUGAAUUAACAGCACCUUAGCUAGUGUGAGGUAAAUUAAGUUUAAUUUUGUUUAUAAAAAACGGUGCAGUUGCAUUUAUCAACAUGACAUUUAGUUGUAGCAGAGUUCAGUUUUCCCCAUUAUCCUGUACUGACCUCAUCAUUUAGUUAGUACUGCUAACAGUGGGCCUCAUCCUGUGCUUCAGAGUCCUAUGAACCUAGCUGGAGACUUGCCUAUUUCACAAGAGCUGCUGAGUUCUGAAUAUUGCCACGUCUGGCCUGGCUGAGGAUUCGUGUGCUUGCAGAGCAGCACAAAAUAGGCCUGCUGUUAAUGGUGAAUGCACAAACUGUUCUUUGAUACCAGCAACUGGGCAGGCAGGUUGUAACAUCCCAUCCUUGAUCCUUAAUUCUCUCUUCUUCUUCUCCCCGUUUACAGCUGGUAUCAUAAAAUAUCUGAGGAGCAUCAGGGGAACAUGUAUGUUGGAAGGCUUCGGCAAGUUCCAGUCUGCUUGGAGAAAGAGGAAGAAAUGACUGUCGCUUCUUCCCCCCUGAAACGUGGCAGAGAGAGAGUCAGAGCAAAUGAGAAUGGCUGGCAGCAAGAAUUACAGUCAAAGAAACCUGAGGGCAAACUGAAGGGACAGUCCAGACACACUUUCAAUCCUCAGAGAGUGUGGAAUAAAAAGAAAGAACAAAAUCGGUGUAUAUGGGUCAGAGAGAAAGUGAGUAACGAGGGGAAGGUGUACAUACGGUUCAUUCUAAGUUCCUUGGUGGAUUUCGCUGCACUGUUGCCCCACCCAUCUUUUGGCACUGCUGGGCAGGAGGAAGCAGAAAGAACAGCUGUGAAGUUUGAGACAGGCUGAAUGUGCCAUAGCCAGUGAUGAAAACGACGAGUUGGAGACUGUUUAAAGAUAGAAUCACACCUGAGGGGCACUUCUUUGCUGUCCGUUUGUCAAGAAGGAUUCCUAGAAUGGGCAGCCUGGUGCAAACCAGAAAAUGAAGUAGCCGCGGAGUUCAGAUCUCUCCUAUUGCAGUCAGUGUGGUGAAGGAUCACAGCCUGUACAGUGGAGACGGUGGUACGAGAGUGCCCCCUUCUGUGUAGUGACACUUUGAGACUUGAAGAAGUCUGCGCAGAAGAAAGGCUUCACAGCAUCCAGAGCUGCACUUACAGUGGGAAAAGUGUCAUGGAAAAGGGGAGGCUGCAGGAGCCAGGAGUGUGAAUCAAAGCGCGGACACUGGAAGAACAGCACAAGGAGAAUCGAGAGAUGCUUGCAACCUCAGGACAAAAAGUUGAGCAGGUAGACUCUCUUUCUGCCGUUACUUUGGUGUCGUGGAGGGGGAUUCCCAGUACCUAUGCCUAUUUGGCGGAGGGGAGAAAUUCAUUAAUGUGAGAGGAUAUUUAUAAACAUUUAUUUAUUAAACUCCAAUAUUUUCAACUCUCACCACCCCCAACCACUGAACUUUAAUAUUAAAUUGUUCUUUACACGAUUAUGAAGACAUUAUGGGAAUAUAUAUCUACAGAAACUUAUUAAUAACCAG